rnacentral:rRNA from 1 species
UACGUAGGGGGCUAGCGUUGUCCGGAAUCAUUGGGCGUAAAGCGUGCGCAGGCGGUUUGUUAAGUCCGCUGUGAAAGCCCCGGGCUCAACCUGGGAAUGGCGGUGGAAACUGGCGAGCUAGAGUGUGGCAGAGGGGGGUGGAAUUCCACGUGUAGCAGUGAAAUGCGUAGAGAUGUGGAGGAACACCGAUGGCGAAGGCAGCCCCCUGGGCUAACACUGACGCUCAGGCACGAAAGCGUGGGGAGCAAACAGG